GAUGAAGAACGCAGCGAAAUGCGAUAAGUAGUGUGAAUUGCAGAAUUCAGUGAAUCAUCGAAUCUUUGAACGCACAUUGCGCCCUUUGGUAUUCCUUUGGGCACGCCUGUUCGAGCGUCAUUUACCCCCUCAAGCUCAGCUUGGUGAUGGGCGUCUGUCCCGCCUCCCGCGCGUGGACUCGCCUCAAAAGCAUUGGCGGCCGCUACAUUGGCUUCGAGCGCAGCAAAACGCGUCUUCGUUGUCGUGGAUCGGCUCCCAGAAGCCCCUUUUUAUUAGUUUCGACCUCGGAUCAGGUGAGAAUACCCGCUGAACUUAAGCAUAUCAAUAAGCGGAGGA
rnacentral:misc_RNA from 1 species